GACGUCUUCAAAAAUUUUUUUUACGUAUUUAUGCGUGCCGCUUUACGCAUAUAAACUGCAGAAAAUAUUCAAUCUUUUUUUUAUGCGUAUACAUUGUGAAGGGGGCGGAGAGUUUCUGCCAUUUUUUAUUCUUUAUUCCAUGUGUCGCACGUCCCAACAACGUUGUUUAAUAUAACUGUGGUUUAGAUCACGGCCAUUAUCGUUUGGUUAGCCGUGGUUCGGAUCCAUUCGUAUUUGAUAAGGAUUUUGAUCAGAUAAUAUUACAUCACACUAAUCGCGCGUAUUACGGUUUUUUGAAAUAUUUCAAAAAUGUUCCGUUUUACAGAAAACAAUAGGUGUACAAUUCUCAAUGGAAG